rnacentral:rRNA from 1 species
UGUACUUUUGCAUAAUGGGUCAGCUAGUUAAUAGGAGUAGCAAGGUUAACAGCCCUAGCGAAAGCGACUGGACUACAAAAAUCCAAAAAAUAAUAAUAAUAAUAAUAAUAAUAAUAUUAUUAUAUUUUUUUUUUUAUUUUUUAGUGUUGGAUAAGUUACUUUUAUUAGACCCGAAGCCAGGUGAUCUUACCAAGACCAGAUUAUAAUGGAUCGAACGGUUGAAUGUUGCAUAAUUCUCCGAUGAGUUUUGGUAAGCGGUGAAAUACCAAUCUGACCUGGUGAUAGCUGGUUUUCUACGAAACAUAA